rnacentral:rRNA from 1 species
GAUGAACGCUGGCGGCGUGCUUAACACAUGCAAGUCGAACGAAGCACUUUUAAUUCUUCGGAAGAGAAGGUGACUGAGUGGCGGACGGGUGAGUAACGCGUGGGUAACCUGCCUUAUACAGGGGGAUAACAGUUAGAAAUGACUGCUAAUACCGCAUAAGCCGAUAGAGUCGCAUGACUUAGUCGGAAAAGAUUUAUCGGUAUAAGAUGGACCCGCGUCUGAUUAGCUAGUUGGUGAGGUAAUGGCCCACCAAGGCGACGAUCAGUAGCCGGCUUGAGAGAGUGAACGGCCACAUUGGGACUGAGACACGGCCCAAACUCCUACGGGAGGCAGCAGUGGGGAAUAUUGCACAAUGGGGGAAACCCUGAUGCAGCAACGCCGCGUGAAGGAAGAAGUAUUUCGGUAUGUAAACUUCUAUCAGCAGGGAAGAAAAUGACGGUACCUGACUAAGAAGCCCCGGCUAACUACGUGCCAGCAGCCGCGGUAAUAC